rnacentral:rRNA from 1 species
AGGUUUAACGAGAAGCUUGCUUCUCAUUAGACCGAGUGGCAAACGGGUGAGUAACGCGUAAACAACCUGCCCUCAGGAUGGGGACAACAGCUGGAAACGGCUGCUAAUACCGAAUACGAUCACAGUACCGCAUGGCGCUGUGAUGAAAGGAUGGCCUCUAUUUAUAAGCUAUCGCCGGAGGAGGGGUUUGCGUCUGAUUAGCUAGUUGGAGGGGUAACGGCCCACCAAGGCGACGAUCAGUAGCCGGUCUGAGAGGACGAACGGCCACAUUGGAACUGAGACACGGUCCAGACUCCUACGGGAGGCAGCAGUGGGGAAUCUUCCGCAAUGGGCGAAAGCCUGACGGAGCAACGCCGCGUGAGUGAUGACGGCCUUCGGGUUGUAAAGCUCUGUUAUAUGGGACGAACGGGCAUGGGGCGAAUACCCCCAUGCAGUGACGGUACCGUAAGAGAAAGCCACGGCUAACUACGUGCCAGCAGCCGCGGUAAUACGUAGGUGGCAAGCGUUGUCCGGAAUUAUUGGGCGUAAAGGGCGUGUAGGCGGCCAGACAAGUCUGUCUUAAAAGUGCGGGGCUCAACCCCGUGAUGGGAUGGAAACUGUCGGGCUAGAGUGUCGGAGAGGAAAGCGGAA